rnacentral:rRNA from 1 species
GACGAACGCUGGCGGCGUGCCUAAUACAUGCAAGUCGAGCGCAGGAAACUGACGGAACUCUUCGGAGGGAAGGCAGCGGAAUGAGCGGCGGACGGGUGAGUAACACGUAAGGAACCUGCCUCAAGGAUUGGGAUAACUCCGAGAAAUCGGAGCUAAUACCGGAUAGUUCAUCGGACCGCAUGGUCCGUUGAUGAAAGGCGCUUCGGCGUCACCUUGAGAUGGCCUUGCGGUGCAUUAGCUAGUUGGUGGGGUAACGGCCCACCAAGGCGACGAUGCAUAGCCGACCUGGGAGGGUGAUCGGCCACACUGGGACUGAGACACGGCCCAGACUCGUACGGGAGGCAGCAGUAGGGAAUCUUCCACAAUGGACGAAAGUCUGAUGGAGCAACGCCGCGUGCGUGAUGAAGGUUUUCGGAUCGUAAAACUCUGUUGUAAGGGAAGAACACGUACGAGAGGAAAUGCUCGUACCUUGACGGUACCUUACGAGAAAGCCACGGCUAACUACGUGCCAGCAGCCGCCGUAA